UGGAGCAUGUGGUUUAAUUCGAAGCAACGCGCAGAACCUUACCAACCCUUGACAUCCUGAUCGCGGUUACCAGAGAUGGUUUCCUUCAGUUCGGCUGGAUCAGUGACAGGUGCUGCAUGGCUGUCGUCAGCUCGUGUCGUGAGAUGUUCGGUUAAGUCCGGCAACGAGCGCAACCCACAUCUUUAGUUGCCAGCAGUUCGGCUGGGCACUCUAAAGAAACUGCCCGUGAUAAGCGGGAGGAAGGUGUGGAUGACGUCAAGUCCUCAUGGCCCUUACGGGUUGGGCUACACACGUGCUACAAUGGCAUCUACAGUGGGUUAAUCCCCAAAAGAUGUCUCAGUUCGGAUUGGGGUCUGCAACUCGACCCCAUGAAGUCGGAAUCGCUAGUAAUCGCGUAACAGCAUGACGCGGUGAAUACGUUCCCGGGCCUUGUACACACCGCCCGUCACACCAUGGGAGUUGGUUCUACCUGACGGCCGUGCGCUAACCUCUUUGAGGAGGCAGCGGACCACGGUAGGAUCAGCGACUGGGGUGAAGUCGUAACAAGGUAACC
rnacentral:rRNA from 1 species